UCAUAGACGAGGCACGCGUUAAACUCAGAGGACUGACCCUGGAAUAUUUACUGAGAUAAUUAUGUUAAACUGAUACACACUUCAAUGUAGCAUAAACCCACGAAGUGGAAUUUAACAGAAUAACUCUGGGUCGAAUGUUUUUACCUUUGUUGUGGCAGGACACAUUUCCUUUUCUCCUCGGUAGUAUUUAACAACCUUUGGCGGUCACCCACCUCAACACAUUUGACACAGGCAGCAGCCCAUUUGUUGAGUGGUGUGAGGGCAGUUGGUCGGAGGACUUCGUAACAUUUUCCUACAACUUCACUUGGGAGAAAAAGCCUGAAAUAAUUGCUAGAGGCAGGCUCCAGUUUGGUCAAUGGGAUGUUAGUGGUCUGGAGGUGUGCCAGGACUGAAGGAGCAUGGUGAAGCACCAACCCCUGCAGGUCUAUGAGAGGCAGCUGUGUUUGUCAUGUCUCACAGGGAUCUAUGGAUGCCGCUGGAAACGGUACCAGCGCUCACAUGAUGACACCACCAAGUGGGAGUUCCUGUGGUCUCUCAUCCUCUUCUUCACCUUCUCUCUGCUCCUGGUCUGGUUCUACUUCUGGUGGGAGGCACACAAUGACUACAAUGAGUUCAACUGGUUUUUAUAUAACCGUUCUGGAGAGUGGAUCGACGGGACUGUUCCAAUCCUGGCCACUACCGCUGCCGGCUUCACUUAUAUUGCAUUUUUAAUGAUUUUAGCACUUUGCCACAUAGCAGUGGGACAACAGCUGAACUUGCACUGGCUGCACAAGAUAGGGGUCAGUACUGCCCUGCUGACCACUGCCAUCGGAUUCAUAUCUGUCAAUCAAACAUGGGGAGAGGAGUGGGCAGUCAUCCCUAUAUCACUCCAGGCCACAGGUCCCUUCCUACACCUAGGAGCCCUGGUGGCUGUCACCGCUCUGGCCUGGCUGGUGGCUGGGCAGGUUGCCCGCUCCGAGAAAACAAUGUUUCAGGUGGUGGUUCUCCUGCUCUACCUAAGUGUUCUACUGGGCCUCUACAUGGCCCCCCUUUCCAUCACCUCCCCCUGCAUCAUGGAACACGCCAACCUCACACCACGCCCUGACGUCAUUGGCCACCAGGGCGCACCCAUGCUGGCUCCAGAGAACACCAUCCUGUCCUUCCAGAGGGCUCUGCAGAUGAACGUCAGUGGGCUGGAGGCUGACGUGGCCAUCAGCCUUGACGGGGUGCCGUUUCUGAUGCGAGACCGCACCUUGAGGAGGACUACAGAUGUGGAGAAAGUGUUUCCUGCCAGACAGCUGGACGAUGCCUCCUCCUUUAACUGGACAGACUUACACAGCCUCAAUGCCGGCCAGUGGUUCCUCAAGGAAGACCCAUUCUGGACGGUCCAGUCCAUGGCUCAGAGGGAGGUGAUGCUGGUGGGGAACCAGAGUGUGUGUAGUCUGGAGCAGCUGCUGAGGCUUGCCACCCUCCAUAACCACACAGUGGUGUUCGGCCUGCGCCGACCCCCGCACGGACACCCCUGCUACCACAGCUGGAUAAACGAUACCCUGGGGGUCAUACUCCUGUCUGGGAUUCCACAGCACCUGGUGAUGUGGACCCCAGACUGGGACAGGGGGCAGGUAAGACAGGUGGCUCCAGGGCUGCAGCAGACAUCAGUAGAGAAGCUGCCUCCUCAGGUCCUUCACCAGCAGGGAAUCAGCAGACUACUGUUACGUUACAGCCAGGCCAGCCCUGAUGACAUCAGAGAGUUCUCCAGGAGCAAUGUGAGUGUGACUCUGUACACGGUCAACGAGCCCUGGCUGUUCUCUGUACUCUGGUGCAGCGGGGUCUCCUCUGUCUCCUCUGAAGCCCCCAACAUCCUCAGAAAGGUGCCUUACCCCAUCUGGCUCAUGAGUCCGGAUGAAUACUGUCUGAUCUGGGUCGCUGCUGAUCUCAUCUCCUUCACUGUAGUUAUAGGAAUUUUUGUAUUCCAAAACUAUCACAUUAUCAGGUGGAGGUUGAGUGGCAUGCACAGUUACAACCCUGAACAGAUCAUGCUGAGUGCCGCGGUCCGGAGGUCCAGCAGAGACCUCAACAUCAUGAAGGAGAAACUCAUCUUCUCCGGUCAACCGCAGUAGCAGUCUCAACCUGUGUGUGUGUGUGUGACCUGCACUCCUCUCCACCUCCACUCCUCUUCAUCCUGCCAUCUCUCCAUCAUCCUCUGCCUGCUGUGACCAUUCGUUCGACCAUUCCAUCCCUCCCUUCCCCUCGCUCUCUGCCUGCCCCGCCUUUCCCCCUCUCCUCCUCAAUCACCCACCAGAGACCUGUGUCAUUUAAAAGGGUGCCUAGACAGCCCACUGAGACCCACCAGCCUCUCCUGGUGGGUGGUGAAAGAGGUGAGCAAUGGUGUGGGCAGUGCUGAGGACCUGUACAUGGAGAAUGGCUUCGACUACUACAACAACGAAGGCAUCUCCCAUUGACUCUUACUCACCGAAUGUGAAUCUACUCACCUAAUGUGACACCCGACUCGACUAGCAUGUGGAAACUGAGUAAAUUAAGACUUCCAAGUGACUGUCUUGUGAUUGGGCUUAUCUAUUGUUAUGAUUACUCUUGUUUUACUCAGUGUAUCCAGAUAGUUAUUGGUUUGUUCCUCCUACUUACUGACUGAUUGACAGGCUGCUGUAUUGCUGAAGAAUCCAAGGCAAGCACCACCCAUUGCUUUGUACAUUCUGUAAAUAGGUUUGUUUUUGCUUGUUAUAUACAAUGUGGGACUAAAUGCACUUUUUAUUGAUGAACUGAUUGAUUCGUCAGAUCUGAUCUAUGGCCUCUUCUCCUCACCUCUGUGGGCAAACUUGUUGGCUCGAGUUCCAUAUCAGGAUUUCAACAUUCAGUGGAGAGUCAUGCAUUUUAUUUAUAUUUUUUACCAAUUUGUUGGCCAGAAAAAGGGCAAUUUAAAACUAUAUUGGUCCAUUUAAAUAUAUAUAUUUACUUAAACCUCCCGUGUGCUGGGAUUGAAUGGGUUCAUGGGCCGGAUCUGGCCCUCUGCCGUAGUUUUUCCCACCCCUGCUCUUGAUGCUUGGAGGCCCCCCCCCUCCAGUUAUCAAUGCUUAUUUGUUUGUUUCUACACUGUUAUUUGGAUUUCUUGCAGUCACUUUAUAGCAGCCAAUUCUUCUUAUUCACAGGAAUUAUUAUUUGUGCAGCAUGCUCCCUUUGGGCGCUAUUCUGAUUUAUAGGAACAAAAAGAACAUGAACACGCUGUUUACAGAAGUCCUGCCUUCUCCGACUGAAAUAGUUUCAUGAUGUAAGAUAAUGAUUUGAACAGCAUUUCCAAGCAUAUGAUAUACAAUAUUAAGUGACUUGUGGAGCUGUGCUGUCUCGGGCCGGGCUUGUGUUCAGGCAGAAGUAAUGUUUACUCAGUGUUUUCGGGUUCAUUGUGAAUGUGUUUUGAUUUUUAAAGGAUGUGUACAAUGCAUGUAUUAUGUAGAGAUUUCACCCCUACCCUCCGUGUGCAGUCCUACAUAGUGUGCACAUAUUAGAUGUUUUAGGUGCUAUGGCUGGCUGAGCAUUAUAUUGGAAAUGGCAUCCUGAUUAUGUAUAAUAAUAGCUAUAGUGUUGAAGAGUUUAUGAAAGUAAUUGAAAUACUUUGCCGGCCCAACUUCUCAAUGGCAUUUGAACUUGUGGUGUUUGAAAAGCAAAGUGCAUCAAAUCAAUUGGUUUCUAUAGGGGGACAUGAAAGGGUGUCUGAUGAGAUGAAGUGGGGUGUGUUAUAUUAACUGUGAAAAUAAAGCUGGAGGCUGUUGAAGGGAUGACGCUGAGUAUCAUUAUAGUUCAAACCGGGUCAAGGAAUGGAUAGACUUGUGUUCAUUUACUCCUUUGGUAUUUGUGCCUCAGAAGUCAAUAAUUAAAAUGCUUCUGAUACCGAA